UACAGAGGUGGCAAGCGUUGUUCGGAAUUACUGGGCGUAAAGGGCGCGUAGGCGGCUUGGUCAGUCCCGUGUGAAAUCCCUCGGCUCAACUGAGGAACUGCACGGGAAACUGCCUGGCUUGAGUUCGGGAGAGGGAAGCGGAAUUCCGGGUGUAGCGGUGAAAUGCGUAGAUAUUGGGAGGAACACCGGUGGCGAAGGCGGCAUCCUGGACCGACACUGACACUGAGGAGCGAAAGCCAGGGGAGCAAACGGG
rnacentral:rRNA from 1 species